AUUCAAUGUACUUUCUCUUUUAAAUAGCAGCCGCGUUCUCGAUAUAAACAUUGUAUCUGUAAAGCUUAAGCGAGACGUUAUUGCGAUGACAUAACUUAUUGACAGAUACAGUUGCAGUUUUUGUAUAGUAAGAGAAGACGAAAAGUUCAUUCGAGGUUGGGUUUCGUCAGAAGAAAUUCUUCAGCAAGUCAUCGAAGCGCAUUCAAUACGUAAACACAGGAUGACAACGUGUUUCAGGGUCAAUAUAGCUCUUAGUAUAAAUUCAAAGAUCCGUAAAACAACAUUCUGGAGAAGCUGUUCAAUUGAAAGAGUAUUCAAUGUACCGACUGCCAUUUGAAGAAACAGACAAACAGGAAUAUCUAUGAAGAGGAUAAAGAAGAAUAAAUAAAUUUGAUCUGUGUUCUGUGCACUUGAUUCAAGAUUGGCAGUCUGAAUGGCCAAGUUUGAAAAUAAUUAUUGCAAUAUAUCUAAAGAAAUUAUUUUGUGAAAAAUGCUACCUAAUAUCUACAUGUUAGCAGGGUAACACAGUAAAGUGAGUUGUAUAUAAUGACAAUUUAAUAAUUAUUAAUAAUUGUUAAUCUUCGAUGUAUAUGUAUUAUAUCAUAUAGGUCUCUGGAGCAAUUUUUCUCUAACCUGAGCCAAAGUCUCAAGCUUUUCUAAUCAUGAUUUGUCCGUUUUCUGUCAUUGUUCUUGUUGUUGUCAUUAACUUUCCACAUUUUCAUCUUCUUACCCAGAACAACUGGGCAAGUCUAACCAAACUUGGCCCAAAUCAUCACUGGGUAAAGAGGACUAGAUGUUUUUUUUCAAAUGAAGGGUCCAUGCCCUCUUAAAAUUUGUUGGUAUUUUUCAAAAUUCUUCUCAGACACCAUUUGGCCAGAAAAGCUCAAAUAUGUGUGGAAGCAUAAUAUUUACUGUGAAAGAAAUUUCCAGAGCUUACUUCCAUGUAACACAGCUAAAGUGAAAAAGAAAUCAAUUUUUGGAGCACUUCCUCUGAUGACUGAAAGUUUAUCGGUUCAAACAAACCAUGUUAAACAUAUAUAUCUACAUAUAUGUACAUAAUUCUACCUUUCCACAAAAUUUUGUUGUUUAAGUAUCUGCAAAAUCUGAGAAAAAGAGAAAAAUCUUCUAACAAAUACCAUUACAAAAAAAUUUGAUAUUUACCAUUAUUAUUAUUUUUACUUUAUAUGCUAUUUGAAUCUAUUUGAAUUUGGCACUGUAGUGUUGAUUUGAUCAGUUAUGGCUUUUGUUGCUCAGGUGAGCGAUGUGGCCCCUUGGCCUUUUGCUUCUUCAGCAGUACAAUAAACUUGUUGAAAAAAGUUUGUAUAGUAUAUGUAUAUAUGUAUUGUUUCGUAAGACUUAUGCCCUGUAUGAUAAUGUAAACUUUUCUAAAAUGCAUAUCUUAUAAAAUGGAUUUCAGUACACUAGUUUAAGGUUAAGGCCCCUUUCCAAUCUACGAUAUUGUAUUUAGUUCAGUUCAUCAAUGUAACUUAAAUAAACAUAAAUAAUAAAACUUGCUUCAUUAU
rnacentral:sRNA from 1 species